rnacentral:misc_RNA from 1 species
GAUGAAGAACGUAGCGAAAUGCGAUAAGUAGUGUGAAUUGCAGAAUUCAGUGAAUCAUCGAAUCUUUGAACGCACAUUGCGCCCUUUGGUAUUCCAAAGGGCAUGCCUGUUCGAGCGUCAUUUGUACCCUCAAGCUUUGCUUGGUGUUGGGGUUCGCGGUUUCGCGGCCCCUAAAAUCAGUGGCGGUGCCUGUCGGCUCUACGCGUAGUAAUACUUCUCGCGAUUGAGUUCGAUAGGUCUACUUGCCAGUAACCCCCAAUUUUUACAGGUUGACCUCGGAUCAGGUUGGGAUACCCGCUGAACUUAAGCAUAUCAAUAAGCGGAGGA